rnacentral:miRNA from 1 species
AUGACCGACCCCCUGACAUCGG